rnacentral:misc_RNA from 1 species
ACCAAUGACAACAAAAUUAGAGGAUAAUUGCAAAAGAAUUGUAUUUGACGGGGACAGUUUUAGUGAAUACCAAAUUCGACCAGCUUUGAAUCAAGCUAAAAUUCAAUUUUAAUGAAAAGCAGAUUUAUUUAUUUUGAAAACUGGAAUUAAAUUUCUCCCGAAAUCAAAUGAGUAAAUCAUGUUAAUUUUAAAUUUCAAGACAAAGAGCCAAGUAUAUAUAAAACUGAUUUGAACCCAACAAAGCAAAAACUGAGUUUGAUAUCACUAUUUUAGCUCAGCUUCAAUUUAUAAUAACCAAAGCAGCAUCAAACAAAUCACUCAGAAUGCUAUUUUACAUCCCUUUCCCAACCUUUCUCAGCAACCAAACAGUAAA